rnacentral:rRNA from 1 species
AACGAACGCUGGCGGCAUGCCUAACACAUGCAAGUCGAACGAGACCUUCGGGUCUAGUGGCGCACGGGUGCGUAACGCGUGGGAACCUGCCCUUAGGUUCGGAAUAACUCCCCGAAAGGGGUGCUAAUACCGGAUAAUGUCUUCGGACCAAAGAUUUAUCGCCUUUGGAUGGGCCCGCGUUGGAUUAGCUAGUUGGUAGGGUAAAAGCCUACCAAGGCGACGAUCCAUAGCUGGUCUGAGAGGAUGAUCAGCCACACUGGGACUGAGACACGGCCCAGACUCCUACGGGAGGCAGCAGUGGGGAAUAUUGGACAAUGGGCGAAAGCCUGAUCCAGCAAUGCCGCGUGAGUGAUGAAGGCCUUAGGGUUGUAAAGCUCUUCUACCCGGGAUGAUAAUGACAGUACCGGGAGAAUAAGCGCCGGCUAACUCCGUG